CGCACCAUGCACUCCUCUUCGCCAUCCUUCUGCUCCUGUUCUCGGAGCUCAACGUCGAAAGCCUCUGCCAUCCACUCCUCGGGGAAAAUGAAACAAUGUUUUUAACAUGAAGAAAACAGGUUGGAAUCGAUUAAACAAGGAAGUGAAGAUUUUAAAUCCAAAUUGCUAAUCUCGUGGAAGAAGACCCAGAGUGAAGUCUAACAAAUGCAGUAUAGACAUAGGGAUGGACAUGGUUGAACCAAACAUACCACUUCAGAAGAAUGGACUCCGUAGCAUAGAAGAAUCAAGGGAGCCUUCUUUUGUUGGUGGACGCCCAGAUCGCCCAGAUCGUAACAUAACUAGCAUACUUUUACUCUGUUUCAUGAUUUGUCAUCAACGACGGUCUACUCCCAUGACAACUGCUACCGAGUUGAAUAAGAGAAACGAUUCUGUUCAGCUGA